rnacentral:piRNA from 1 species
UCCAGGGUCUGUCACUUUGGAGAAUGAGCCC